GGGCACAUAGCGUAGGGGUCAUCGCGUUCGCUUUGCAUCCAUAAUCCAUCAAGGUCUACUGCAUGCGAAAGGUCUCCGGUUCAAAUCUGGAUGUGUCCA